rnacentral:lncRNA from 1 species
CCUAGAGUUAGUUUGGUAGGGGUGGACUACUGGACCACAUGAAGACAGGCUGGGAAGCGGUCUUUUGAAGGCCCUUGGGCUGCAUUUUUUUCUGUUGCUUUUGUUCCUUCAGCCCUGCCCUUCACCUUCUGCACAUUGCCCUGUGCCCCGGGAGGCUAACAGAAAGAGCUUGCUGACUCCUGGAAUAUUGGGAUGGCAACGUUUACAGAACUCUAGGGGAACAAGCAAGAAUCGUGGAAAACUACUGUUGGUUUUCAUAUCGGGGGCUGAAUAAACUGCAGGAAUACUGGCCCCAGUGAUCUUGGCUGUGGAUCAGCCACAUCAAAAUAUGUGAUUGCAGGAGACCGCUUAGAAACCUAUGCUGGCCUCAUGUCUGCAGAUGCAGAUGUCCACCAACACCAGAGGAGGAAGGGCUUCUCCUCAUCUGCCUUCCCAUCUGUCACGAGUGCCCCUCAUUGGCUGGCACUAAGUGAAACUGAUGUACAUUUCCAGCUUUUCCUCUUGAUACACUGGUGAUCAUAGAAGGGGCAGGGAUAGGGAAGCCCGGGGCUUUGGGGUGACUAGAGAGGGUAGGGAUUUGGAGUCUGGGAGGACUCCCAGGCUUUGGUGACAGUGAUGAAUUGUGGUGAUACCCACAGAGAGGAUGAGAAGAAGAAAAGAAGAAGAUUCUGGACAGGAGGGGAGGCCCUAUUGGGAGGUUAGAUUCCCAACCCCCUGCCAACUGUGGAGUUGAGUCACAGCCACCUGCCCCAGUGGGGCUGUACUUACAUUGAUUCAUGGAGUAAAACCAUUAAGUACUUUUGACAUAAAACAUUGGUAUUCUGAGCCCGGGAUGAACAGAUUUUGCCAUGGCUGAUGGAUAUCUAGCUCACAAGCUAACACAGCUAUACAUCUUCCUUUGGUAGGUUUCAAGGAGACCUUCCAGGAACUGGAAAGCAUUGGCAAUUUCUUUGGCCUGGCGCCCUGUUGGCAUGCAUGGUCUUGUGAAUGCCAGAGAGGCCUGAAGCAAAGUAACCAAGUGAGGAGAGUAGAUUGGAGGGAGAGGAGGUGAGACGCAAAGGGGUGGAGAGGAGACCAAGGAAACCCUGGGGAGGAGCCUCAUUACAGAGGUGAGAGGUCACCUAAUGCCCAUGGAGCAGGGAGCAAUGGAGGAUAGGGGGAAAGGGUGCUAGGACUGCAGGUGCUGACCAGCCCAGGCCUCCGCCUCCACCUGGCUUAUUGUCAGUCAGAGCUUCACCUUCCUCCAGAGCAUGCUCCCUACUGUUGACUGGGGACUGUGCUGUGAAAUUUAGCAAGAUCUGGCAGAAAACUCUUCCCCAUCCUAUAUCUUUCUUUGGGCAGAGACUCAAGGACCUCAGUUGUGUGACUUUUCACUUCAGCAAAGUUGGUUUUAUUAGCUCUACUUCCCCCAGUUUGGUAGUAAUCCAGCUCACAAAUCCAUCCUUACAGCCUACUAAUCCAUGUUACAUCCUACUAGUUAACGAUUGUCUUCUAAAUGAGGAAUGCCUUCCAAUUAUUUUUAUGUGCAAAUACAAUACUGCAGGUGCUUAAACAUCAAUAAUGGUAAAAACAACAUGGUAAUUGCUCUAGACUGAAUGUUUGUAUUUCUCUCAAAUUCAUAUGUUGAAGCCCUCAACCCCAAUGUGGCUGUAUUUUGAGAUAGAGCAUUUACAGGAGUAAUUAAGGUUAAAUGAGUCCACAAGGGUAGGGCUCUGAUCCAAAAGAAAUAGUGUCCUUAUAACGGGAGGAACCAGAGAGCUCUCUCUCUCUGCCAUGUAAGAAUACAGUAAGAAGGUUGCUGUCUACAAACUAAGAAGAGGGCCCUCACCAGAAUUCAAUCAUGCUGGCACCUUAUCUUGGACUUUCAACCUCCAGAAUUGCAAGAAAAUAAAUUUCUGUUCUUUAAGCCACCCCAGUCUGUUGUGUUUUGUUAUAGUAGCUCAAGCUGAUUAAAAAAG